UCGCGGUGGGUAUCGUUAUUUUCUGACCUUCACAGAUGAUUUGAGCAGAUAUGGGUAUAUCUACUUGAUGAAAUAUAAGUCUGAAAUAGUUGAAAGGUUCAAAGAAUUUCAGAGUGAAGUGGAAAAAUCAUCGUGACAAGAAAAUAAGGUUUCUACGAUCUGAUCGCGGAGACAAAUAUUUGAGUUACGAGUUUGGUAUUCAAUUAAAACAAUGUGGAAUAGUUUCACAAAUUCAUGCCACCUGGAACACCACAUCAUAAUGGUGUGUCCGAACGUCAUAACCGUACUUUAUUGGAUAUAGUACAAUCUAUGAUGUUUCUUACCGAUUUACCAAUAUCGUUUUGGGAUCAUGCAUUAGAGACAGCUGCAUUCACGUUAAAUAGGGCACCAUCUAAAUCCGUUGAGACGACACUAUAUGAACUGUGGUUUAGCAAGAAACCAAAGUUGUCGUUUCUUAAAGUUUGGGGCUGCGAUGCUUAUGUGAAAAAGUUUCAUCCUGAUAAGCUCAAACCCAAAUCGGAGAAGUGUGUCUUCAUAGAAUACCCAAAGGAAAUUGUUGGGUACACCUUCUAUCACAGAUCCGAAGGCAAAACAUUCGUUGCUAAUAAAUGGAUCCUUUCUAGAGAAGGAGUUUCUCUCGAAAGAAGUGAGUGGGAGGAAAGUAGAACUUGAUGAGGUAAUUGUACCUACUCCCUUAUUGGAAAGUAGUUCAUCACAGAAAUCUGUUCCUGUGACUACUGCACCAAUUAGUGAGGAAGCUAAUGAUGAUAGUCAUGUAACUUCAGAUCAAGUUACUACCGAAUCUCGUAGGUAAACCAGAGUGAGAUCCGCACCAGAGUGGUACGGUAAUCCUGUUCUGGAAGUCAUGUAACUAGAUCAUGAUGAACCUACGAACUAUGAGGAAGCGAUGAUGAGCCCAGAUUCCGCGAAAUGGCUUGAGGCCAUGAAAUCUGAGAUGAGAUCCAUGUAUGAGAACAAAGUGUGGACUUUGGUGGCGUUGCCCGAUGAUCGGCAAGCCAUAGAAAAUAAAUGGAUCUUCAAGAGGAAGACGGACGCUGAUAGUAGUGUUACUAUCUACAAAGCUCGACUUGUCGCAAAAAGGUUUUUGACAAGUUCAAGGUGUUGACUACAAUGAGAUUUUCUCAACUGUAGCGAUGCUUAAGUCUGUCCGAAUCAUGUUAGCAAUUGCCACAACUUAUGAAAUUUGGCAAAUGGAUGUAAAAACUGCAUUCCUGAAUGGGUUUCAGGAGGAAGAGUUGUAUAUGAUGCAACCAGAAGGUUUUAUCGAUCCAAAGGGAGCUAACAAAGUGUGCAAGCUCCAGCGAUCCAUCUAUGGACUGGUGCAAGCAUCUCGGAGUUGGAAUAUACGCUUUGAUGAGUUGAUCAAAGCAUAUAGUUUUAUACAGACUUACGGUGAAGCCUGUAUUUACUAAAAAGUGAGUGGGAGCACUACAGCAUUUCUGAUAAGUAUAUGUGAAUGACAUAUUGUAGAUCAGAAAUAAUGUAGAAUUAUUCUGCAAAGCAUAAAGAAGUGUUUGAAAGGAGUUUUUCAAAGAAAGACCUCGGUAAAGCUACUUACAUAUUGAGCAUCAAGAUCUAUAGAGAUAGAUCAAGACGCUUGAUAAGUUUUUCAAUGAGUACAUACCUUGACAAGAUUUUGAAGUAGUUCAAAAUGGAACAGUCAAAGAAAGAGUUCUUGCCUGUGUUACAAGGUGUGAAAUUGAGUAAGACUCAAAACCCGACCACGGCUGAAGAUGGAAAGAGAAUGAAAGUCAUUCCCUAUGCCUUGGCCAUAGGUUCUAUAAAGUAUGCCAUGCUGUGUACCAGAUCUAUUGUAUACCCUACACUGAGUUUGGCAAGGGAGUACAAUAGUGAUCUAGGAGUAGAUCACUGGACAGCGGUCAAAAUUAUCCUUAGUGGAAUAAGGAUAUGUUUCUCGAUUAUGGAAGUGACAAAAGGUUCGUCGUAAAGGGUUACGUCGAUGCAAGUUUUGACACUGAUCUGGAUGACUCUAAGUCUCGAUCUAGAUACAUAUUGAAAAUGGGAGCAAUUAGCUAGAGUAGCUUCGUGCAGAGCAUUGUAGACAUAGAAAAAUUGCAAAAUACAUAACGGAUCUGAAUGUGAAAGACCCGUUGACUAAGACUCUCUCACAAGCAAAACAUGAUCACACCUUAGUACUCUUGGGUGUUAAUCACAUAGCGAUGUGAAAUAGAUUAGUGAAUCUAGUAAACCCUUUGGGUGUUGGUCACAUGGCGAUGUGAAGUAUGGGUGUUAAUCACAUGAUGAUGUGAACUAUCGAUGUUAAUCACAUGGUGAUGUGAUCUAGAUUAUUGACUCUAGUGCAAGUGGGAGACUGAAGGAAAUAUGCCCUAGAGGCAAUAAUAAAGUUAUUAUUUAUUUCCUCAUAUCAUGAUAAAUGUUUAUUAUUCAUGCUAGAAUUGUAUUAACCGGAAACAUAAUACAUGUGUGAAUAUAUAGACAAACAGAGUGUCACUAGUAUGCCUCUACUUGACUAGCUUGUUAAUCAAAGAUGGUUAUGUUUCCUAACCAUGGACAAGGAGUUGUUAUUUGAUUAACAAGGUCACAUCAUUAGUUGAAUGAUCUGAUUGACAUGACCCAUUCCAUUAGCUUAGCACCCGAUCGUUUAGUAUGUUGCUAUUGCUUUUAUCCAUGACAUAUACAUGUUCCUAUAACUAUGAGAUUAUGCAACUCCCGUUUACCGGAGGAACACUUUGGGUACUACCAAACGUCACAACGUAACUGGGUGAUUAUAAAGGAGUACUACAGGUGUCUCCAAAGGCAGAUGUUGGGUUGGCGUAUUUCGAGAUUAGGAUUUGUCACUCCGAUUGUCGGAGAGGUAUCUCUGGGCCCUCUCGGUAAUACACAUCACUUAAGCCUUGCAAGCAUUACAACUAAUGAGUUAGCUGUGAGAUGAUGUAUUACGGAACGAGUAAAGAGACUUGCCGGUAACGAGAUUGAACUAGGUAUUGGAUACCGAUGAUCGAAUCUCGGGCAAGUAACAUACCGAUGACAAAGGGAACAACGUAUAUUGUUAUGCGGUCUGACCGAUAAAGAUCUUCGUAGAAUAUGUAGGAGCCAAUAUGGGCAUCCAGGUCCUGCUAUUGGUUAUUGACCGGAGACGUGUCUCGGUCAUGUCUACAUUGUUCUCGAACCGUAGGGUCCGCACGCUUAAGGUUUCGAUGACUGUUAAAUUAUGAGUUUAUGUAUUUUGAUGUACCGAAGAAGUUCGGAGUCCCGGAUGUGAUCAUGGACAUGACGAGGAGUCUCGAAAUGGUCGAGACAUAAAGAUUGAUAUAUUGGAAGCCUAUAUUUGGAGUUCGGAAUGGUUCCGGGUGAAAUCGGGAUUUUACCGGAAAACCGGGGGGUUACCGGAACCCUCCCGGAGGCUAUUGGGCCUUAGUGGGCCUCGAGGGAGAAGAGGAGGGGCCGGCCAGGGGUGGCCGCGCGCCCCCUCCCCCCCCUAGUCCGAAUAGGACAAGGAGGGGGGGGGGCGGCGCCCCCCUUCCUUCUUCUCCCUCCCCCCAAUCCUACUCCAACUAGGAAAGGGGGGGAGUCCUACUCCCGGUGGGAGUAGGACUCCUCCAGGCGCGCCUCCUCUAGGCCGGUCGCACCCCCCCUUGCUCCUUUAUAUACGGGGGCAGGUGGGCACCCUAGAACACACAAGUUUGAUCUACGGAUCGUUCCUUAGCCGUGUGCGGUGCCCCCCUCCACCAUAUUCCACCUCGGUCAUAUCAUCGCGAAGCUUAGGCGAAGCCCUGCGCCGGUAGAACAUCAAGAUCGUCACCACGCCGUCGUGCUGACGGAACUCUCCCUCGACACUCGGCUGGAUCGGAGUACGAGGGACGUCAUCGAGCUGUACGUGUGUCAAGAACUCGGGGGCGCCGGAGUAACGGCGCCGGGAUCGGUCGGAUCGCGAGGAGAACGUACGACUACUUCCUCUACGUUGUGAUCGCUUCCGCUUCGGUCUACGAGGGUACGUAGACAACACUCUCCCCUCUCGUUGCUAUACAUCACCAUGAUCUUGCGUGUGCGUAGGAAAUUUUUUGAAAUUACUACGUUCCCCAACAUUUACCACUAUUGUUUUUGGGUUAUGCAUUAGAGACAGCUGCAUUCACGUUAAAAGUGCACCAUCUAAAUCCGUUGAGACGACACCAUAUGAACUGUGGUUUAGCAAGAAACCCAAGUUGUCGUUUCUUAAAGUUUGGGGCUGCGAUGCUUAAUUAUGUGAAAAAGUUUCAUCCUGAUAAGCUCGAACCCAAAUCGGAGAAGUGCGUCUUCAUAGAAUAUCCAAAGGAAAUUGUUGGGUACACCUUCUAUCACAGAGCCGAAGGCAAGAUAUUCGUUGCUAAAAAUGGAUCCUUUCUAGAGAAGGAGUUUCUCUCGAAAGAAGUGAGUGGGAGAAAAGUAGAACUUGAUGAGGUAACUGUACCUUCUCCCGAAUUGGAAAAUUGUUCAUCACUAAAAUCAGUUCCAGUGAUUUCUACACCAAUUAGUGAGGAAGCUAAUGAUGAUGAUCAUGAAACUUCAGAUCAAGUUACUACAGAACCUCGUAGGUCUUCCAGAGUACGGUCCGCACCAGAGUGGUACGGUAAUCCUGUUCUAGAAGUCAUGUUACUAGACCAUGAUGAACCUACGAACUAUGAGGAAGCAAUGAUGAGCCAAGAUUCCGCAAAAUGGCUUAAGGCCAUGAAAUCUGAGAUGGGAUCCAUGUAUGAGAACAAAGUGUGGACUUUGGUGGAGUUGCCCGAUGAUCGGCAAGCCAUAUUGUAUAAAUGGAUCUUCAAGAGGAAGACGGACGUUGAUAGUACUGUUACUAUCUACAAAGCUCGACUUGUCGCAAAAAGGUUUUUGACAAGUUCAAGGUGUUGACUACAAUGAGAUUUUCUCAACUGUAGCGAUGCUUAAGUCUGUCCAAAUCAUGUUAGCUAUUGCUGCAUUUUAUGAUUAUGAAAUUUGGCAAAUGGAUGUCAAAACUGCAAUCUUGAAUGGAUUUCUGGAAGAAGAGUUGUAUAUGAUGCAGCCAGAAGGUUUUGUUGAUCCAAAAGGUGCUAACAAAGUGUGCUAGCUCUAGCAAUCCAUCAAUGGACUGGUGCAAGCAUCUCGGAGUUGGAAUAUACACUUUGAUGAGUUGAUCAAAUCAUAUGGUUUAUACAGACUUUUGGAAAGGCCUGUAUUUACAAGAAAGUGAGUGGGAGCACUACAACAUUUCUGAUAAGUAUAUGUGAAUGACAUAUUGUUGAUCGGAAAUAAUGUAGAAUUAUUCUGCAAAGCAUAAAGGAGUGUUUUAAAGAAGUUCUUUAAAAAAAAGACCUCAGUAAAAGCUACUUACAUAUUGAGCAUCAAGAUCUAUUGAGAUAGAUCAAGAUGCUUGAUAAGAUUUUCAAUGAGUACAUACCUUGGCAAGAUUUUGAAAUAGUUCAAGAUGGAACAGUCAAAGAAAGAGUUCUUGCCUGUGUUGCAAAGGUGUGAAAUUGAGUAAGACUCAAAUCCCGACCACGGCAGAAAAUAGAAAAGAGAAUGAAAAUCAUUCCCUAUGCCUCAGUCAUAGGUUCUAUAAAGUAUGCUAUGCUGUGUACCAGACCUAUUGUGUACCUUGCUCUUAGUUUGGCAAAGGAAUAUAUUUUUGACCUAAUAGUAGAUCAUUGGACAGCGGUCAAGAAUAUCCUUAGUGAGGACUAAGGAAAUAUUUCUCGAUUAUGGAGGUGAUAAAAGAGCCCGUCGUAAAGAGUUACAUCGGUGCAAGCUUUUACACCAAUCCAGAUGACUCUAAGUCUCAAUCUGGAUACAUAUUGAAAGUGGGAGCAAUUAGCUAGAGUAGCUCUGUGCAGAGCAUUGUAGACAUAGAAUAUUUGCAAAAUAUAUACGGCUCUGAAUGUGACAGGCCCAUUGACUAAGCUUCUCUCACGAGCAAAACAUGAUCACACCUUAGUACUCUUUGGGUGUUAAUCACAUAGCGACGUGAACUAGAUUAUUGACUCUAGUAAACCCUUUGAGUGUUGGUCACAUGACGAUGUGAACUAUG
rnacentral:lncRNA from 1 species